AUUGAACGCUGGCGGCAUGCUUUACACAUGCAAGUCGAACGGCAGCGCGGGGCAACCUGGCGGCGAGUGGCGAACGGGUGAGUAAUAUAUCGGAACGUACCCAGAAGUGGGGGAUAACGUAGCGAAAGUUACGCUAAUACCGCAUACGAUCUACGGAUGAAAGUAGGGGACCGCAAGGCCUUAUGCUUUUGGAGCGGCCGAUAUCUGAUUAGCUAGUUGGUGAGGUAAAGGCUCACCAAGGCGACGAUCAGUAGCUGGUCUGAGAGGACGACCAGCCACACUGGAACUGAGACACGGUCCAGACUCCUACGGGAGGCAGCAGUGGGGAAUUUUGGACAAUGGGCGCAAGCCUGAUCCAGCAAUGCCGCGUGAGUGAAGAAGGCCUUCGGGUUGUAAAGCUCUUUUGUCAGGGAAGAAACGGUAGAGGCUAAUAUCCUGUGCUAAUGACGGUACCUGAAGAAUAAGCACCGGCUAACUACGUG
rnacentral:rRNA from 1 species